rnacentral:lncRNA from 9 species
CAGGGAGAUGUCCAGGAAGCCGGCUACCCCUCUACGUCUCUGGCAGCUUGGCCGCAAUUCUGCACACUUCUGUCCUCGCUGCAGGCCCCACCGUCCAGCCCAGACUCGAGCAAGCGAGCACCGAGAGGCCGAGCGCACCUCCCCUCUGGGUCCGUGGCGCAGUGUUGAUAUCAGAAGAAGGAAUUGAAGGAGACCUCAGACAACCCCCAAGAGCAAUAAGCAAGAUAUACCAGGUCCUGUUCCAUGAAAGGAAAGCUGGGGAAAUCAGGCUAAGGAGACUAUCCUGUCUGCAUCUCAUUCUCAAACGGCCGCAUGAGGAAGAGACCCAGGAUAACCAUACUUGUCUGUGAGAUGGAAACGAAGCUACCAGGUUUCUAACUUCAAAGAAAGCCCAAGACCUGGGGAGGAAAAUGCCAAGAAUUUGACAAGAGUCUUAUAGUAACCCUUUCAGUAUUU